UGAGCAAUCUGCCCCUCUCUUUGGAAUAAGCGUUGGAAACGACGUCUAAUGCCGAAUACGACCUCCUUUCGCAUGAUUGGAGGUGGAAAGCUCCGGCGGAGAAGGAUGAGCUCGCGGCCUAUCAGCUAGUUGGUGUGGGUAAUGGCCCACCAAGGCGACGACGGGUAGCCGGCCUGAGAGGGUGACCGGCCACACUGGGACUGAGACACGGCCCAGACCUCCGUACGGGAGGNAG
rnacentral:rRNA from 1 species